AUAUACAGAAAUGCGCGAGGCGGUGGUUGGUUUUCAUUUCUUCUUCGUGGUUGUGUGCAUGCGGUGGGAUUGUGCGAGUGCGUUCGUGAGAGCUGUGGGCGGCGUUGGCUGCUUCCGAGUGUGGUCUUCUUGGCGGAAGGCUGUGUGUCCGAGUGUGGUGGUGCCUGCGCGGUUGGGGUGUGUAGAUGUGGACCCUUCGAGGCCCCUCUGCGUUUUCUUCGUUGCGUACGAUUGUGUUCGGUUGGUGUUCUCGGCAGGGCUCUGGUUCUGUGUGUGGGGUGUGUGGCCUCUGCGACUGUGUUUGGGUAGUGUCGUCGUUAUGUCGGGCAUGUGUGAUCCCGACUGUGCUGGGUUGUGUGUCCGUGAGCCGCUGCAUUUGACUGAUUUCGUUGUGUCCUGUUGGGCGGUAUGCGGAGCUGACCAUGUCGGCUCCUGGGGCAGUGCUGGGUGGUGCUUGUUUGCUACCCUUCUGUGGGGCUGGACCCUGUGUGGUCCUGUCCGCGCUGAGUUGUGUGCCUGUGUGCCUGUGUCCUUUAGAGGUGCGUUUGCAAAUCUCUGGGGGCGGGAGUGCGGGGAGGGCGAGCGAGAGAUCGAGGCGCUGGUGGGGGAGGCGGCAUGGGGGCGGGGAGCGGGAUUUCACAUUUUAUUCCAAAUUAUGAUGUAUUCGGGAGCCAGUCGUUGGCUUGGAUGGGCGGACGGCGCUGGGUCGGCGGCUGCUCUGCCGGGAGGCCCGCCUGUGCCUCGUUGUUUUGAAGGGGUCGUUGGUGAGUGGGAGGCUUCUCCAGGCUUGAAGCUGAGCAGCGCUCGCGGAGGCCGGCGCCUUAGAGCCUGUGGCUGCGGGCCUCGGUUCCCGCCGCACUCCGGCUUCGUCCAUUUCUGAUCGCCCAGGACCACACCGCAGCGUAACUGCAGGCCUCUCAGCGAAAAAGGGGGAAAGCAAAGCCUGGGGUCCGCAUCCUCCACCUCGGCUUCCGCCCCUCUCCGGCGGAGUGGAGAUCCUAUUCAGAGGGUCCAGUCUCUCUAAAUAUGCCCCAGGUGAGUUUUCAAGGGGAUGGUGCCAGUGGAAAGUGUCCAGGAAGGCCUUGGG
rnacentral:lncRNA from 1 species